rnacentral:other from 1 species
GGAUCCCUGGCCUAUUCGCCAGGCGGACAGUCCUCGAGCCGAUAAUUUUUACCCGGGGGUUUCUCGUUGCUGUUGGUGUGCAUGUCCGGCCUUGGUCGGGAAGCCUGAUACAGUGCAGGGACCUCCUCCUUGAACCAUCGGGUUCAAGGGCAGUUCUGUCAGCGGUAUGCCGGGAAUCCA